rnacentral:rRNA from 1 species
UACGGAGGGUGCAAGCGUUAUCCGGAUUUAUUGGGUUUAAAGGGUCCGUAGGCGGACCUGUAAGUCAGUGGUGAAAUCUCAUAGCUUAACUAUGAAACUGCCAUUGAUACUGCAGGUCUUGAGUAAAUUAGAGGUAGCUGGAAUAAGUAGUGUAGCGGUGAAAUGCACAGAUAUUACUUAGAACUCCAAUUGCGAAGGCAUGUUACCAUGAUUCAACUGACGCUGAUGGACGAAAGCGUGGGGAGCGAACAGG